rnacentral:lncRNA from 1 species
CCCUUAGAAGGAGAAAAGCCAGUUGAAUAAACCCAUGGGCCAAGCAUGCAUCUCUUCCCGCCCAGUCAUGAUCAACUUCAUCUUCUGGGUUUCUUCCUUUGACGCUCACUCCUUUCUGAUGCUGGAAAAAUUAAUUAAAUAAAUAAAGAAGAAUUUGGAAGAAGUCAAUGGGAUUCUGCAAGUCACAGAAAGUGAGGAGUCUAGGAUGGCUCUCUGUGCCAGGUUCUUGGUGCCCAGUCCUCAAGGAAUCUGCAUCGAAUGCCUGCAGACCUGGAACCGCAGAGAAGUUACCGAGAAUCAUUCAUUAA